rnacentral:rRNA from 1 species
UACGGAGGGUGCGAGCGUUGUCCGGAAUCACUGGGCGUAAAGGGCGCGUAGGCGGUGGCCUAAGCGUGCGGUGAAAGCCUGGGGCUCAACCCCGGGUCGGCCGUGCGAACUGGGCGACUUGAGCACUGUAGAGGCAGGCGGAAUUCCGGGUGUAGCGGUGGAAUGCGUAGAGAUCCGGAAGAACACCGGUGGUGAAGGCGGGUCUCUGGGCCGAUACUGACGCUGAGGAGCGAAAGCGUGGGGAGCGAACAGG